AUGAGCAAGUCGCAGAUCCUGCCAGGCCACAUCAAGGACAGUCAGUCAGAGGUUUUUGUACGGCGGCUCAAUGAGUUUGUAUCACUGUGGUACACGUUCGGUGGAGGAACCAGACUGAAUGUUGGAAGUGAUACCCGGCCCAUCCUGACAGUGUUGCCCCCCUCCAGUGAGGAGCUACAGCAGGGGACUGCAACAAUCACAUGUCUGGCCAACAAGGGCUUCCCCUCAGACUGGAGUCUGUCCUGGAAGGUGGAUGGCAGUGGCAGCAUCAGCUGGGAGGAGAGCAGGAGCCCCGUGGUGCUGCAGAAUGACGGCCUCUACAGCUGGAGCAGCACCCUGAGGCUCCCUGCAGACCGCUGGAUGAAGGUGGGCUCUGUGACCUGUGAGGCCACCCAGGGCUGCCAGGCUAUGGUCUCAGAGCCACUGAGGAGAGUCCAGUGUUCCCAGUCCUGACCUGACUCAACCUGAUACUGGUUUAAUGCUCUCAUUCUCAACUCUAACUGUCUCUCCAUCU